GUGGGAUGUUUUCUUUCAUAAAAUGCAACGUAGGCCCGUCGUCUGAACGGACUUUUGACUGGAAGCAACUUCAGACAGGACGAGUAGUUUGAGCUCUGUAUAUUUAACAAUAAUAAUUGUUAUAGAUUCUAGUUUUUGAGAUUCAAAGACUGCAGUCCUUUACAAAAGGCUAUCCUUGCCAGUUUUUACUCUUUUAUUCCGAAGAAGACUAUUUCACUUUGCUCUCCAGAUAAGACGAAACGAAAGCUGCCAAGUCACUCAGCUGCAAUCGACAUUUUUUCCUGUACGGUUAUUUUUUGGACGGAGAUGUGUCAAGACGACAUGGAUACCAGAUCGAAGCACGUUAACGCCGACUGCCUGCGUAAAACCAUGAAACCUGGAUCGAAAUUGAGGUGGAAACGGCCUCGUGUCUCCACGGAGGGGGAUGGGGCCUUCAAGCAGUGCCUAACCGGCUCGGUGGGGACCAUCCGAAAAUGCCUCCGGCGGGAACAGAGGCGGGCACAGUUGACGAAACUCGCCAAAGUCCUGGGAAACAUCGGAAAGAAAGAGAAAAGGGAGUCCGUGUAUGAGGAAAGUCCCGCUGCGGCCUACACACACAGUCGACCAUCGGGGGCAAUGGCGCCGCCAAACACCACGCAGUACCUUAUGGAGGGACUUUGAGGAAAUGUUUGACCUGUGCUGUUAACCGGAAUGAACUGGUCUACGUGGCCUUGUGAAACUGGUCUGACCUCCUUUCCAGCUGUGACUUACCGAUAUGGGCAAAUCAAAAGGUGUGACGUUACAUUGUACAUGAAUGACAUGAAUGUGACUUAUGCAUAUGUUUUGUUUUUUUUACAAGCCCAUGUUAUGUGAUUGCUAUGUCGCAUGAUUCAUGGUUGGGCUUUAUUUGUCUCACAGCGGCGCACUGGAUGGUGCCCGCCCAGUAGGGAGUGUCCUGAGCCCUGAGUGGCGCCGCCCAGAGGAACGAAACAAACGCACCUCAGCUCUCGCCUGGCCACGGAUUGUGAAAUCCAGGUAAACCCGGGCAGGUAUUGUGUUGCACUGCAUUGUCAUUGAUGACAAGAGUAGUACAUUGUGAUGCGAUGUUGGGCCUGAAAGUGCUUUCCACAGUUACUGUUGUCUGAGCGUUUUCCAGGUCGCUUUCCUGCCGGGACACAUGGCUCUGCUGUGAGAGAGGAGCAGGUGAACAAGGAGCUCGGUCUUCACGUGACUGACAUAAGGUGACAUUUAAUGCCCAUUGGUUAUCUUGACUGUUUCCAAGAAGGUUAAAGUCCAGAAGAUGUCGAGUGUUAUAAUCCUGGUGACAUAAUUUACGUGUGAAAUUGUAUACAAACUGAGAUUAUAAAGUGAAAUGAUCCGGAGUUUAGAGAAUUAAAAAUGUUCAAUAAAUAAUUUAAUUAUAAGAAAUUGACUGUUUGCAUUUAUUUUUACUAAAUUGGGUGUCUUUCAUUAUUAGGCAUGUUAAGUGACAUGAAGCUAUAAACAAAACUAUGUGAC
rnacentral:lncRNA from 1 species